CCUAGGUUGAGCAACUACAAGGACUUGUGUUAAAUCUAGUAUAAAAUGGUGAGUUGUUGGAGAGAAGACAUGGACUUGACUCCUGAUCACACAGACCAGCUCUAGCAUCUUGUUACUGAAGCUCAACAGAACCUACAGAAUCUACCUGUGAAUCCAGUCUAAAUUCCUGUCAAUCAUGAGGUCCUUGGCUGUAGCUGUAAUCCUGUGUGUACUGCUGCCACUUUUCCAUGCUGGCUGCUGGUUUAAACCAGCAGAACCAGGUAUGAGGCAGUGUCUUUACAACAAGGAUGGGACGUGGCAUGAUAUUGGGUCCCGCUGGAGGACCAGUGAUUGCAUGAACUGCUAUUGUCAAACCAACGGGGACAUGUCAUGCUGCCAGGCAUAUUCUGAGCCCACAAGAUUUCCUGAUGAUUGCGUGAAGGAGUUUGACCAAAAGGCAUGUAAAUACAACGUGUUCAAGAAAACUGAUCGCUCCAUUCCAUGUCCUAUCUACGGCGGUAAAGGGAAGUGAUAGGUUUUCUUCCCCGUGCUCUCAAUAAACAGGGAAUGAAGAA